AUCCUUUUGUAGUUCAUGAGCACGAUGAUUGGAUGAUUGGGUGUUCACGCAUCUGUGGGAAACGUGCCUCCCUCAAACCUUGCUCUGACAUCAGCACAUCACCUGUAUGACG
rnacentral:snoRNA from 1 species